rnacentral:lncRNA from 1 species
UUGAGAUAAGACAACCUUUAUAGAACUCAUCUCAAGGUAUAAACUCAUUAUAUAAUUAAAGCAAGUCUUGCAAUAUAAGGAGGUUCAUUAAAAUCUAUCAAGGUAUGAGAUACUGAAUAUCUAAAGCUCCCCCUCAAAAGAUGCAUUCUUCUUUAAUCAUUCUUUUCUAUUGUUGAAUUUCAGAUUUUAGUGAUAAACGUGAAUAAAACUGAAAUUCUUAUGAUAUCAAGAAUGUAGAGUAAUCUAGUAUUAUUCAGAAUUUGUAGCAAUUACUCUUUCUAAUCCUUCAAGAACAAGUUAUGCUUUCUCUUAAUCUUGGAGAAAAUGUAUAGAAAUAUUAAUCAGAAAAUGAUUCAUUUGAAGCUCAGUUUCUUUCAAAAGCAUUUACAUUUUCUUUCUUUUAGAAUCAUUUGAGUGAGCUGAAAUAUUUCUAGCUUUAAGAUCAUUCACUCUAUAUAUAUUCUGAUGGAAGUCUUUAAGAAUAAAGAUGAUCAUUGAGGUAUAUAUAUUUAUAGAACUCAAUUUCUUAAUCAUAGCUUUUCAGCAAUGUAUACAUGAAACACAAUAUUUUUUUUAAUAUCAAAAUAAAAUCAUAUAUUUAGAAAUUUUUGUUUGCAAUCAAGAUCAUCGAAAGACACAUCAUUUGGACCAAUAUUAGUACACUUUGAAGAUAAGAAAUGAUAUGUUUCGGAUGCGUAUCGGAGCAAUCAACCAAGGCAUCAAAAUUAAUUCUGUUUUUCUUACAUUAAGAUUUUAUUUAGAGAUCAUAUUGAGUUUAAGCUUUUAUACAAAAUCAGAUUCUGAAUUUCAUAAGGAUUUUCAAUAGAGGCUUUUAAAUCAUGAUUUGAGAUAUGUAUCUACCACAUU